CCUCCUCUCUAUCUCCUCCUCUAUCUCCUCCUCUCUAUCUCCUCCUCUAUCUCCUCCUCACCUCCUCCUCUCUAUCUCCUCCUCUCCUCCUCUCUAUCUCCCCCUCUCUAUUUCCUCCCUCUAUCUCCUCCUCUCUUCUCCUCCUCUCUAUCUCCUCUCCUUCUCUCUAUCUCCUCUUCUCCUCUAAAUCUCCUCCUCUCUAUCUCCUCCUUCUCUUCUCCUCUUUUUCUCCUCUCCUCUCUAUCUUCUCCUCUCUCCUCUAGCUCCUCCUCUCUAUCUCCUCUCCUCAUUUAUAUCUCCUCCUCUCUUUCUCCUCCUCUCUGUCUCUUUCUUUCUAUCUCCUCCUCUCUGUCUCCUUCUUUCUAUCUCAUCCUCUCUUCUCCUCCUCUCCUCUCUAUCUCCUCCUCUCCUCUCUUCAUCUCUCCUCCUCUUCUCUAUCUCCUCCUCUCCUCUCCUCUCUAUCUCCUCCUCUCUAUCUUCUCUCUAUAUCCUCUCUAUCUCCUCCUCUCCUCUCCUCCUCCUCUGUAUCUCCUCCUCUCUUCUCCUCUUUAUCUCCUCCUCUCUUCUCUCUCUUCUGACUCUCAUGUCCUAACGUAAACUUUUUUUUUUGCCCUGGAAAAACGCCAUAUAUCUCUCGACCCUCGAACGUCUCUUCUUCGACCAAGCAUGGAUUGGUAAGCAAAAUGCAUAAAAAAAAUACUAAGAAAAGAAAAGGCGGGAAAGUAGGCGUCGACCAGUAAUCUACCUCUGGAUAAUCUGUGAUCCGGCAUGCCUUCUCUCCCAUCCUUGGAAAUCACCCCCUCUGCUGAUAAGCUAAUGCAAAAAUGUCUGCUCGUCAUUUGCUAGCAAGGGCGUAGCAUCCUUUCACCCCCACCCCCACCCUCGCACCCGCCCAGACCUGCUUACGCUAGCGCUAAGCAUUAAUUGACACAGCUUGAUUGCAGAGUACAUGGCAACACUUAAUACAAUGUUGAUCAGCCGGGGUCCAAUAAAUAGACAAUGAUUGUAUGAUCUCGCUGGGCCGAAAUUAGCACCGCUGCCCCACCAUUUAUUAGCAUGGGAAAUGUCACCCAGGUGCAAUCAUGUUAGCGGCGCCCGCUAAAUCUCUGAAUAAUGAAUAGUGUUUUUUUGGAAGAACUCAACUCUUUUGAAGUUGAACAAUGCACGUGUUUUGAUUACGAUCCAAAUCAUUUUGUGUUUUAUAUUUUAUUUUUCGUUGAUUAUUAUUUUCAGUGAUUUUCUUUCCCAAACUAUUAAGAUCAAUGACACAAUCGUUGGGGAUAUAAUUAGUUUAAUCAUGAUUAGGAAAUAAGGUCUUAGGCUGGGGGGAGGACAUAGAAUAGCAGCACAGCAAUCACAACGCCUACACAUAUCGUGUUUAAACACCACCUCAUGGUGGGCUUGCAAUGCUUCCGAGUGCGCUUAGCUAACGCUGACACUACCUCAGUAGUUAACAUAGUUUCCUUGUAAAAUGGAUUCCUUUCCUCUAUUCAUAAUCAGUGUCAGUACACACUGAAACCCUCUGUGUGUUCUUGUGUGUCCGUCUCCUAAUAGUAGUUAGACCCUUUUGUGUUUGUGUGCUUGUAUGUCCAUAUGCUUUUCUGUGCAUUUUCAAAGAAUCUGCAAUGUAUCUGCAUGCGCGCUAUUGGUGUGGUAAUUGUGUGUACAUACCUUGUGUAUUUUUGUGUGUCUUGUGUAUCUGUGUGUGAGUGUGUGUGUGUUUCUGUGUGUGUGUCUGUGCAUUGCCACGGAAUGCGUGUACUCAUUCACGUGUGUUUGUGUGUGUGCCUGUGUGUAUGUACAUGAAUGUGUUCAUUUAUAUGCGGUUGUGCAUGUGGAUGUAUGCGUCUGUGUAUGUGUGUGUGUAUCUGUGAUCCGUAUAUGCGUGUGUGUGUAUGUAUGAAUGUGUGUGCGCGUGUGUGUGCAUGUGUGGGUAUGCGUGCAUGUGCGCGUAUAUAUGCGUGCGUGUGUAUGUAUGAAUGUGUGUGUGCAUGUGUGUGUAUGCGUGUGUGUGCUUAUGCGUGCAUGUGCGCGUAUAUAUGCGUGCGUGCGUGCGUAUGUAUGGAUUUGUGCGUGCGUAUGCGUAUGUAUGUGUGUAUGCAUGUGUAUGUGUGUGUGUGCCGGUGUAUGGAUGUGUGUGCCACCACACCUGCCCCCCCAGGUGCGUCUCGCCCGCCAGGCGGCGGAGAUGGAGCUUAAGGUCCCGUUCGCUGACGAGCUGCCGUCCCGCGGCGCCCAGCUGGCCGCCCUGAGGGACACUGAGGAGUUUGACGUCCUCAUCGUCGGGGGUGGGGCCACGGGGGCCGGCUGCGCCCUGGAGGCCGUCACACGCAACCUGAAGACGGCGCUGGUGGAGAGGAACGACUACUCGUCCGGGACCAGCAGCCGGAGCACCAAGCUGAUCCACGGCGGAGUGCGCUACCUGCAGAAGGCCAUCAUGAAACUGGACUACGAGCAGUACAUGAUGGUGAAGGAGGCCCUCCAUGAACGUGCCAACCUGUUGGAAAUUGCUCCUCACCUAUCGGCGCCAUUACCCAUUAUGCUCCCUGUCUACAAAUGGUGGCAGCUGCCGUACUACUGGGCAGGCAUCAAGAUGUACGACCUGGUGGCCGGCAUGGAGUGCCUGAAGAGCAGCUACGUGCUCAGCAAGACGAAAGCCCUGGAGCUCUUCCCCAUGCUGAAGAAGGACCGGCUGGUCGGGGCCAUCGUCUACUACGACGGUCAGCACAACGACGCGCGCAUGAACCUAGCGAUCGGCCUCACCGCGGCUCGCUACGGUGCCGCCAUGGCUAACUACACGGAGGUGGUUAACCUGCUGAAGAGGGCCGACCCUGAGACGGGCGUUGAGAAGGUCUGCGGCGCACGCUGCCGCGACGUGCUCACGGGUCAGGAGUUUGACGUGCGAGCCAAGUGUGUGAUCAACGCCACUGGGCCCUUCACCGACUCACUGCGGAAGAUGGACGACCAGAAGACCGCCAACAUCUGCCAGCCUAGCGCCGGGGUGCACAUCGUCAUUCCCGGCUACUACAGUCCGGACAACAUGGGUCUCCUGGACCCCGCCACCAGCGACGGCCGCGUCAUCUUCUUCCUGCCCUGGGAGAAGAUGACCAUCGCUGGGACCACCGACUCCCCCACAAACGUCACAGCCCACCCCAUUCCCACCGAGGACGACAUCACCUUCAUCCUCAACGAGGUCCGCAACUACCUCAGCCCCGACGUGGAAGUACGUCGUGGGGACGUGCUGGCAGCCUGGAGUGGGAUCCGGCCCCUGGUGACGGACCCCAACUCUAAAGACACCCAGUCCAUCUGCAGGAACCACAUCGUCAACGUCAGCCAGAGUGGCAUGGUCACCAUCGCUGGGGGAAAGUGGACUACGUACCGCUCCAUGGCGGAGGAGACGCUGGAUGCGGCCAUCCUGACCCACGGCCUGGAGGCGUCAGCCAGCAAGACCGUGGGUCUGGUCCUGGAGGGGGGCCGCGACUGGUCGCCCACCCUCUACAUCCGCCUGGUGCAGGACUACGGCCUGGAGAACGAGGUGGCCCAGCAUUUGGCGUCGACAUAUGGCGGGAAGGCGUUCGAAGUGGCCAAAAUGGCGCAGGUCACCGGCAAGAGAUGGCCCAUCGUCGGCAAAAGGCUGGUGUCCGAGUUCCCCUACAUCGAGGGCGAGGUGCUGUACGCCAUCAAGGAGUAUGCCUGCACGGCCAUUGACGUCAUCGCCCGGCGCACGCGGCUGGGCUUCCUCAAUGUCCAGGCAGCCGACGAGGCCCUGCCGCGCAUCGUGGAGCUAAUGGGCAAGGCGCUCAACUGGACCAGCGACCGGAAAACCGAUGAGUUGGAGGAAGCCAGGAAGUUCCUGUACUAUGAGAUGGGCUACAGGACUCGGUCAGAACAACUCACGAAGACCUCUGAGAUCAAUCUGGACUACCAGGAAGUAGUCAGGUACAAAAACCGCUUCCACAAGUUUGACAAGGAGAGCAAAGGAUUCAUCACAACGGUGGACGUACAGAGCGUGCUGCAGAGCAUCAACAUUCAGAUCGAUGAGAACUCCCUGCAUGAGAUCCUCAGCGAGGUGGACCUCAACAAGAACGGACAGGUGGAGAUCGACGAGUUCCUGCAGUUGAUGAGUGCGGUGAAGAAGGGCCAGGUGUCUGACAGCCGUCUGGCCAUCCUGCUGAAGACGGCUGAGGAGAGUUUGGACUUGAGGGCGCCCGUGUCCGUAGACCGCAGCGGGGGCGGAGUCUAAUCGGACCACGCCCACUCCCUAGACCACACCCACCUUCCUUUCCCCCGCCCUAACCCCUCCCAACCAGAACAGGAUUUCUGUAAUGCCAAAAAAAAGAAGAAAAAAAAAUCUUGUCGUUUUUGUCAACGCGAGAAAGAAAACUACAACGACAACAAGAAGAAGCUGCUCAUUGUUCCGUGGGUCCUGGCCGGUCCAUCCGUCUGAGGCCAGAAUAGCUUUUAUGAGCGUGGAGGUGAAGAGGCGACAGGGAGGAAAAGAACCCGAUCCUAAUCUCCCCUCCGCCUCACUCCUGUUCUGUUCUCUUCACACCGACACUCUAACACACACCACACACCAAAACACACCACACACUGACACACACCACACAUCGACACACACACUGACACACACCACAAGCCGACACACACCACAUAAUGACACACACCAACAUGCUUCACACACGACACACACCACAAGCAAACACACACGUCACCAACUGACGCACACCACAUACGAUACACACAACACAUCAACACACACUGACGCACAGCACACACCGACACAAGCAACACACGAUACAUACCAUAAGCCAACACACACACCGACACAAGACACACCGUCACACACCGACGCACACCACACACCAACGCACAACACACGACACAAACCGGCGCACACCACACACUGACACACACCACACACAACACACACUGUCACACAGACCGUCACACACUGACACACACGUCACACACCACCACCGACACCAAACACCGUCACACACAGACACACACGUCACAGUCACACAGUCACACAACGACGCACACCACACACCAACGCACACCACACACACCACAAGCCGACACUCCGACGCAAACCACACACCGACGCACACGACACACACACCACACACGAUGCACACCACACACCGUCACACACCACACACGACACACACUGUCACACACGACACACACCAACACACACCACAAGCCGACAUGAUAUAUAUAGGUAUAUAUAUAACGAUUUAUAUAGUGAUAUAUAUAUAUAUAUAUAACCAUAUAUAUGAGAUGAUGAUGAGAUGAGAUUAAACUUUAUCCAAAGUUUUUAGCAAAAUGAGAUGCAAUUGACAUCCCACCAGAAGUGCAAAAGAAGCAUUAAAGGACAAUUCCGGUAUUUUGAACAUUGAGCCCCCUUUCUGGUUUGUUUAGGAUGAAAUAGAGUGGGUGACACCGAAAUUUGAACUAUUAGUUCUUUCUCGGGUAUUUGGCUCAUUUUGAAUCGCUCCUGCCUGCUUCACAAUGGUUGUCUGUGUGCAUACACAAACCUGUCUACCCAGCAACCCUAAACGUUCGUUUUCAAAAAUGUGCAAGUAACCGAGUGGUUAGUGGCAUUCGUGAAGUUGAAAAAAAAAAUAUCGGUGCAAUAUAUGGUUUCUGUCGUGUUUUAUUGCACAUUUAUCGCCAGUUGAUUUCAGUUGGAAGACUCAUUACUGCACGUUGAUAUUACUCCGCCGAACCGGAAAGGUGGGCUGUUUACGUUGGUUUGAAGUCUUGUACCGUGAGCACCUCGGAUUAGGGAAAAUCACAGAGAAAAUCACUGAAAAUGGAUUAUGAAAGGUGGCUUCUGGAGGACGCACCUGAUUUUGAGUUUGACGGCAGCGGAUAUAGUUUUGAACCAGAAUUCACCCAAGAGGAGCUACGUGAGAUGGAGGCUAGGGCUACGGAGGCACCUGAAGCUCCGGCUGAAGCGGUCCCCAGGAUCACGGGAAAUUGGUGGUGUGCCUGUGGGAAGUUCAGGCAGAUGCCGACGGAAGUCGAAAGUAGGUGCUGCACGGAGUGGGACCUUUUGCGGAAGUUUAUAUGCGGUUGUGAGGUAUCUGAAAAAAUAGUUCCAAUUAGCAACUAACACGGAUGGAAACCAUAUAUUGCGCCGAUAUAUAUUUUUUAAACUUCACGAAUGCCACUAACCACUCGGUUACUUGCACAUUUUUGAAAACGAACGUUUAGGGUUGCUGGGUUGACAGGUUUGUGUAUGCACACAGACAACCAUUGUGAAGCAGGCAGGAGCGAUUCAAAAUGAGCCAAAUACCCGAGAAAGGACAAAUUUCGGUGUCACCCACUCUAUUUCAUCCUAAACAAAUCAGAAAGGGGGCUCAAUGGUCAAAAUACCGGAAUUGUCCUUUAAAUACCAAAAUACAGGUUGAGUACAGUAUUCUUGGGCAGUAAAAGACAAUAUAUACAGUAUAUAACAUAUAGAUAAUGAUAUACAUAACGAUAUAUAUUUAUGACGAUAUAUAUUGAUAUAAAUGACAAUAUAUAUAUAACGAUAAAUAUAAUGAUAUGUAUCACGAUAUGUAUUAAUAUAUAUAACUAUAUAUUUAAUCAUAUAUAACGAUAAGGAACACAUCCUCAGACGUCAGACAGAAAAUACAUAAAUCCAACGCUGCAAGGUCAUUACUAUUUUAAGAAUGGGCUCACACACUCACACCAAACGCCAGACUGGGAAAUGCUGGACAAUAGGUUGGGAAAUGGGAUAGAGAUCUCAGUGAACAAGCCGUCGUCGCCUGGGUAAAGGUCACGGCGUGGUGUUGAAUUACACUCAGCUACAGAACCUGUCGCCGGCGGAGACGGGAGAGAAUAGGGGGGGGAUGGGCGGAAGGAGGAGGGAUGCAAUUAAUUGUAAAUGAGUAUGAUGGGACAAAUCUGCCGUAUGAGAGCUAAUUCUCUUAUUCUCGGUUGGAUUAGGGUCUUGAGCCCUGGUGGAGGUGGAUGGUGUGGUGUUGGGGGAGGAGGUGGAGAAAGAGGUGGUGGUGGAGGUGGUGAUGGUGGAGGAUGUGGUGGAGGAGGUGGUGGUGGUGGAGGUGGUUGUGGGGCUGGUGGUGCUGGAGGUGGUGCUGGAGGAGGUUGUGGUGGAGAUGGUGGUGGAGCUGGAGGUGGUUGAGGUGGUGGUUGAGGUGGUGGUGGAGUUGGAGGUUGUGAACUAUGGAAUAUUGAUAGAGUUAAUCAGCUGUUAAUAGAAGGAAGACGUGCACAGAAUAACUGAUUAAGAUCAAGAUAUUAUGUUGGUAAACAACACUUACAUUCUGUCCGCAUCGGCAGAUUCAAACAUGAAUACACGCAUCACGUUGACAAAUGUCCCGAUAACAGGAAGUGUGCGGGAUAAUCAUCUAAAAAUAGACCUAGGGAUAAAUGGAAGAAACUCCUAAAAAACUAAUUUGCACACAUCAUCCAACAAAGCCAUGGAUAAUGGUUGGAGAGUUGCACGUUGCCAGGCCUGGUCCCAGUGCAUGUAUUGCUAAGCGGCGUGAUGGCUCAGUACCCAUCGAGCUGCACAAAGGGAUUAGAACCCCCAACCGCCCUUGUGUCGAUGACGGAAUAAACAUGCUGUCUGUGGUGUUUAUCCGGCGCACUAUCUUGACUAUUUCAGUGUUUCAUCAAAGACGCGUUAAUUAUUUGGGAGGUGAAGAAACGUCAACAAGCAAAUCCACCCCCUCAAGGUUCUGGAUAGCUCCCCCGUGGAGGGUUAGUCAAUAGAUGCACGCAGUAAUUAAGAUAAUAACGUUAAAAAACACACAAGGAAAUAUCAUGCCAUCGCUCUCUCCCAUCUUUCCAGUCACCAACGGCCUCGUAAUUAUGAUGAUGCUUUGAUUGGCUUUAAUUAGCACCGUGAGUUAAGGGUAUGGCUAAGAGCGGUGGGAUUCAAUGGGCUUCAUAACGAUUACUGGAUCCAGGAGGCAUCUGUCUGUCUGAUGAACAACCUCAAAGCACAGCGACAUAAUUAACCGUAAACGUGACAUGAAUCAUCCGCUCGGAUCCGCUUGAAGUAAAACUGAAAGUUUGAAACAUGGAUUGAUGAGCGGAAGAGAGCGGUAAGGGGCAAUGGAGAAUGAGAAGGAGAUACAGGCCUUCCAUAGGCGAAGGAGACGAGGAGAGGCUGGUAAAUCAAUGCAGAAGAGUUAUUGUAGGUCUAUGGAGUGGAUCAGAGACCUUUCAUACCCGAUAAGCCUGCGCUUCGGUCGUCACCACGGCAACCACGUGGUCUGGAGUCUUGAGUCUAUCGCAUGAGGAAUACAAAGUGAAUUGAUUUGA